GACGAACGCUGGCGGCGUGCUUAACACAUGCAAGUCGAGCGAUGAAGCACCUUCGGGUGUGAAUUAGCGGCGAACGGGUGAGGAACACGUGAGAAAUCUGCCUUCAACUCUGGGAUAACUCCGUGAAAACGGGGCUAAUACCGGAGAUGAAACCUGCGGGCAUCCGCGGGUUUGGAAAGUUUUUCGGUUGAAGAUGAUCUCGCGGCCUAUCAGCUUGUUGGUGAGGUAAUGGCUCACCAAGGCGACGACGGGUAGCCGGCCUGAGAGGGCGACCGGCCACACUGGGACUGAGACACGGCCCAGACUCCUACGGGAGGCAGCAGUGGGGAAUAUUGGGCAAUGGAGGAAACUCUGACCCAGCGACGCCGCGUGCGGGAUGAAGGCCUUCGGGUUGUAAACCGCUUUCAGCAGGGAAGAAGCGAAAGUGACGGUACCUGCAGAAGAAGCACCGGCUAACUAUGUGCCAGCAGCCGCAGUAA
rnacentral:rRNA from 1 species